UCAGAGUAGACAAUACUUCACAAGAUGGAUCAACUGUCUGACCUGGUAUAAGGCGGCUUCCUAUGUAAAUUAUGUAUACCCGGCUGCAAAAGCAAAAGAUAAAAAGCCCAAGUAGAAAAUACAAAAGAAACAGAAUUCCAAAAGAAUUUGCUUCAUUUCCGUCUAGGAAAAAGCUACCAGGUGUAUACUGCAGGCAGAAGUUUGGAAGUUUGCAAAUCACAUGGGAAGAACACCCUUAUUGCACAAGUAGAGCAGCUUUCUAACAGGAAGACAGUGACCAUUUUAGGAGCGCCCAAUGUUUGUAGCUGCUCACGCGCACAUUGCAUCAAACCCGGAAGUGACCCAAAAACAUUACAAAAAGAGGUGGAACAGGUUGGGGCGUUUGCAGGCUUUUUCAAUGGUGUUUCAAAUAUACACAAUGUGUGGUGCCUUGGAACAAAA